UACGUAGGUGGCGAGCGUUGUCCGGAUUUACUGGGCGUAAAGAGCGCGCAGGCGGUCGUACAAGUCGCGUGUGAAAGCCCCCGGCUCAACUGGGGAGGGUCACGCGAUACUGUUCGACUCGAAGGCAGGAGAGGGAAGUGGAAUUCCCGGUGUAGUGGUGAAAUGCGUAGAUAUCAGGAAGAACACCCGUGGCUAAGGCAGCUCUCUGGGACGGUACUGACACUGAGACGCGAAAGCGUGGGGAGCGAACAGG
rnacentral:rRNA from 1 species